UAUAACCCAAGCUGGUCUCAAACUCCAGGACUGAAGCAGUCCACAUGUCUGGGCUUCCCAAAGUGCUGGGAUUGUAGGCAUGAACCACCGCGGUUGACACUACCAUUAUUAUUUUGUUACUCAAAUUAUUCCAGCUUUGGUUGUUGUUAACUAUUUCAGAUUGGCCCUGUGUCCUCUUGACAUGUCCUUUUAUGUGUUUUUUUUUUUUUUUUUUAAGUAUUUUUCCUGCCCCACAUCUAACAAGAAGCUGUGGUUACUUUUUCAGGAGGCUGGUAUUUAGAAACUAAGCUCUAAGCAUUAGAAGUGCUUAUUCCUACUAGGUGUCAUUGCUUCUAUGCCUGCACAGAGAACAGAGCUAGGAAAUAUAUUUGUAUAUACUAACCCCUGUAUACAGACACAUCUAUAUUUCUAUAUAUAAACAAAUUUGUACUUAUACCUUUGACUAUAAUCUGACACCCCAGCAUUCAUUCCUGCUUUCCCCUUAUCUGUGAUUUCUUUCCCUGACAAUGAGAAAUCUGCAAUAUCUAAAAUGUAUUUUAUUUUUCAGUGUAAAGUAGAUACAUACUGGUUAACUUGUACCUUUGUGAGAAACGAAUUCACCACCAAGAAGAAUUUAGUAUUUAUUUCUUUGAUUUUUAUUUCUUUAACCCUAUUGACCAGGAUAUUUCUUUCAUUUUUUCCUUUAUGCUUACAUUAUAUAGUUAAAACAGUUUCCCAAAGUUACUUAGGUUUGUUAUUUGUUUAUAGUUCUAUGGGUUUUGACAAAUACAUGGUCAUAUAUCCACCACUACAGUACUGUUGUGCAGAACAGUUUCAUCAUCCUCAAAUUUCCCUCUUGUUGUCAUUUUGUAGUUAACCCUUCUUCCCUCUCAUAACUCCUGGAAACCAUUGAUCUGUUUUCUGUUUCUACAGUUUUUCCUUUUCGAUAAUGCCAUAUAAAUUGCAUCAUAAAAUACGUAAUAUUUUGGAUCUGGCUUCUUUCACUUAGAAAAGCACAUUUAAGAUUCAUCUAUGUUGUUGAGUGAAUCAAUAGCUUCUUCCUUUUUAUUGCAGAAUAAUAUUCCAUUGUACCACUGUUUAUAUGUUCACCUGUUCAAGUAUAUCUUGGUUGUUUCCAGUUUGAGGCAAUUAUGAAUACAGCUGCUAUAAACAUUUGUGUAAAUAAAUUUUCAAUUGAUUUGGGCAAGUACUUAGGAAUGGUAUUGCAGGGUCGUAUAGUAAGUGUAUGUUUAAAUUUGUAAGAAACUUCUAAACUUUUCCAGGGUGAUUGUAUCAUUUUUGCAUUCUGACAUGGAUGUUGGCAGAAUUUCACUGCUGGAUAUUCUUCCCUGUUCAUUCAGUGCCACAGGGGAAAGCUUACUCUGGAUUCAUCUUUGAGCACCUGUGUCCUCUAUGUCUCCCGAGGAAUAAAAACCUUUAUCUGCAGAGUGAAGGGCAACAGAUGGCCAUAGGAACAUCCGGCCAAGUGUUCCUAUGCCUGUCUCUUUCCAGAUUUCAAGUUAAUUUUUUGUGCUAUGACCUUGUUUACUUAUGGGUUCAAGAAAAUUUGUUUGUUUAUGAUUUGUCUAGCUUUUUUAUUGUUCUGAGCAUGGGCACAGUGCUUUUACCAUCUCUCUACCUUUUCAAGUUGUUCAUAUGUCUUUAAAUGAGUGAUGGUGGCCCCCACAUCUCUAGGAUACUUAGAUUCAACUGGAUACAUUAAACUGAAUGAUAAAUCAAGAUGUAUUUAAGCAUCAUUACUUUCAGUAUGCCAGAAAUUACAUCCUUUGCAACUAAUUAAACUUAGGCUGGAAAAAAUACAUCAACUUUAAAAUACGUAAAAUGUUAUGAAUAGUUUUUAAGAAUUAGACAAAAAACAAGGGACAUGUUUGAAAACCAGUGCUUAAUUAGAUAGGGAGAAAGGUGGGACAUUACUCAUGUUUUCUCACCCUAUUUCAUUCACUGGGCUGUUUAUUCUAAAGGAAUGCAUUCCUGCUGGCAUCACCCUUUAAGUCAGAGUUACUUACUAGGGUGGAGGAAUGACACAUUCACCUCAUGCUCAAACUUGAAGGGUGUGUCAAAAUACUCAGUAAUUCAGAUAAAUAUUUUAUUGCAGUAUUUAAAAAAAUCAAAAUUCAUGCCAAAAGUUUGAUUAACAGUAUGUCAGAAUUUCAAAUAAAGAUAGCAUUUAACCCUGUACUUGUACUAAUUCCAAGCUGAAACCUUAAGUCUUUUGUUCUUAGGUUUUUAAAUGAAUGAUUUUGGGUCUCAAAUCCCUAGGAUACUCUCAAUGGAUACAUUUACAAACAAUGAUAUAACUCCCUAAUCUCUUCACCCUAAUUCUGGCACUGCUGCAAGAUAUGAUGAAGAAAGGGAACUACCAUUUUUAAGCUAUUAUUUUAUGGAAACUAUACAUCUGCUUUGUGAAGUCUAUUUUAACUGUUUAUUGUCAAAGUCUUGCUCAGCAUAUAUCGGAGCAGGUAUUCAAAUUCAGGUCUGCCAUCGAAGCCAAACCUUUUCAUCAAAGCAAAUGUGUAGAAUGGUGGCGAUCCUUUGGAGUUAAGCCCUUCUGGUGCAAGGGAACUCCCAAAAGAUUUGUAGAACCGUAAAACAUGCCCAACAUCACCAAACAUUUUAAGUAGGGAUUAUUGCCCAUGCUGCUUUGCUAGGUGCUAAAUAGAGUUAUUCACAUAUGGUAGCUGUAAUUAAGUAACCUAUAUCCUUGAUGACUCUAAUAAUGCAAAUCAUGUCAAGAAUAUGACACAAGGCCCGGCACAGUGACUCAUGCCUGUAAUCCUAUUACUUUGGGAGGUCGAGGCAGGUGGAUCACUUGAGUUCAGGAGUUCAAGAUCAGCCUGGCCAAUAUGAUGAAACCCCAUCUCUACUAAAAAUACAAAUAUUGGCUGAGCAUGAUGGAACGUUUCUGUAAUCCCACCUACUCAGUAGGCUGAGGCAGGAGAAUUGCUUGAACCCAGGAGGUAGAGGCUGUAGUAAGCUGAGAUUUUGCCACUACAUUCCAGCCUGGGCAAUAGCAAGAUGCUGUCUUAAAAAAAUUAAAUGCAUUAUAAAAUGUUUGGUACAGAAAUAAGAAUGAAUCUUUGGUGGCAGAGAGAAGCUCCUUUAAAAAAAUCUUUCAUAAUCUUUUUUUUUUAAUUUUUUUUCCAAGAAAAAAAAAGAGAAAGAAAAAAGGAAUGAAGAAGAGGAAGAAAGAGGAAGAAGAAGAGGGAGAGAGAAUGGGGGUGUUGCUUUAUUGCCCAGGCUAGAAUGCAGUCUGAAAAUGGGUAUAGAAAACCUCCUUUAUGCCAUUAAUUGUGCUUAAUAAUGGCCAACCAGUAUUUCAUUUAAACCUAUGAGUAGGUGUGAUCUGGUACUGAUAAGAGUAUAUAUUUUGUGUAUUUAAGUGGAGAGUUCUAUAAAUGUUUAUUAAGUUUACUUGUUCCAGAUCUGAGUUCAAGUCCUGGAUAUCCUUAUUAAUUUUCUGUCUCCUUGAUCUAUCUAAUAUUGAUGUUGAAGUCUCCCACUAUUAUUGUGUAUUUUAAAAAAAUCUUUCAUAAUCUUUGUUACUAUACUUCAUAUAUUUAAAAUUUGACCUUGCUACCUUAAGUGUUACAACUCUGAUGUAAACAACCAUUUAUUACUACAGUCGCCUCUUCUCUUCCAUUUAUUACUGCAGUCACCUCCUAACUGGUUUCCUGUUUUGCUGUAUGCUUCCAUCCCUCUACUCUCUCCCAUCUAAACUCUCUUUUCCUUACUGUAGCCAAAGCAGCUUACAAUCAUGGGGGGAUGUUGAAGGGGAAGCAAGCAUGUUUGUCUUUACAUGGUGUCAGAAGAGAGGGUAAAGGGGAAAGUGCUACACACUUAAAAAGAAAAAUCUCCUGAAAACCCAUUAUUACAAGAACAGCAAGGGAGAAAUAUGCUCCCAUAAUCCAGUGACCUCCCACCAGGACUCUCCCCCAACAUUGGGAAUUAUAAUUCAACAUGAGAUUUGGGUGGAUACACAGAGUCAAAGCAUAUUAAAAGGUAGGUUAAAACAUAGCCCUGAUCUUGGAGCUUACAGUAAAAUAAAGAAUAAAUGACAUGUUUAGAAAAUGGCCAGUCUUUCAGUUGGGCCAGAAUGUUUAUUAGCUUAUACAUUCCGCCUGACCCCUGUCAGGUUUAUUAAAUACAUAGUGCCCUAUUCUAUUUUGUUUUAGCCACACAUGUUAAGUUUGGCAUGUGAAGGCUGGAGAGAUAUGUAUGAUGUUUUAGUUCUUAUUUUAAAAAUAUGAUUAAAAUUUUCAUACUGCCACAGCCUGAUAAUUUUGGUUGAUGUUUAUCCAAUUUAGGCUCUGGGACAGAUAUUUCACAAAAUUUGCAUUACAGCUUCUAGUGAGUUAUAUUGUAAAAUAACCUAUUUAGUAGUUUAGUGUUUAAGAUGUUUUAGUGUAAUUUAAAUAUAUUUAAUAUUUCAAGACCACACUGAAUGUUGCUUCUGCAUUGGUUUUAGUAAAAUGCCUCAGAUUCGAUACCAUAUAUUAUCUAUUAGCAAAUAAUUGUUUAGUGGAUAUAUGAAAAUAUAACAAAUUUUAAAUACUUCCUUCCACAUAUUUCUGAAUACUGAUGUAAAUUUAACUAAACAUCAAAUGGCCUAAACUAUACUGUGUGAGUUGCAGGAUAUUUUGGCAACUGCUGAACUAUAGUACUCUCAUCUUUUUAGGAUGUGACUCUUCCUUAUGAUUUGGCAAGGAAAUUGGCAGUUGGGCAUGUUAGUGAAUUCUUCAUCUCAGUACAUGAUAUUCAGUUGCUCAUUAACUCAGUUGUUCAAGCCAGAACCUCAGGAGCAAGGCCAAAGUAUAAGGUUGUGAACAAGAACACCAAGCCAAGGUGUUUCAUGGAUGCUGGCAGAAGACAUGAGACUCUGUGUCAGAGAUGAAGAAUUAAUAAUCCAAUGAUAUAGCUCAGAUCCUGCUCCACUACAUCAUGUAGGGCAGGAUCUGAGACGUAUAUUUCUCAGUUUGAGGAACCACUGAAGUUUCAGUAGGCUAUUACACCUUUAGGUUUUUCAAGAGCAAACCCCUAAACAGCUUAGCCUUAGAGUAUUCCAUGCUGUCUGUGGUUGAGCACAUACACAGAGCUGCUGAUUGUACAACUCCAACAACCCCCGACUCUGCCCUUCCCGCCAGUUAAGUUCUGCAUCUAUGCCCUGCAGGAUCUCAUUCUGUCACCCAGGCUGGAGUGCAGUGGUGUGAUUAUGGCUCAUGGCUCACUGUAGUCUUGACCUCCGAGGCUCAAGUGAUCUUCCCACCUCACAGUCUCCCAAGCAGGUGGGGGCUACAGUUCUCUAUUUAGCAGCUGUACAGCAAUUUACAGUUUGCAAAGAACAUUCCAGUAUUUUGUUUAAACUCCAUGAAAAAUGCAAAACAGGAGCUCUGGUCCCAGUUUACAGAAUCUUCACUGGUAGAAGACAAACUGUCAUCCCGUCGGCCCUCUUCACUUUGGAAAGGAAUGCUUGGUGAGAAGCCUCCUGGAGUUUUGGGAGAACUGAACACGGAACAUGAUCCUUCACUAUUUGAUGAGUAAUGGGAUGGACCUUCAAUGGUUACUGACAAAAGGUCAAGUUCUGUUUCCUCUGGAAACUGAUUGUAAAAAAGAAAAAACAUGAAUCAGAUUUAUAUUUCAAUUAAAAAAAGAAAAUAUAUAUAAAUUUAAACAUUUAAAAAUUAUCUCAGAGUUGAAUUUCCUCACUCUAAACUGAAAGAAAGGUCAGAUUCAUGAACAUAUGAAAUGGUACACCAAGGAAGGAAGCAAAAGGGCCAACCUCAGAAAGUUAUACUACACUAAAAAUCAGAAUGAAACUUUACUUUAUAUAAACAUAUAUUACUAUAUUAAUAAGUAAACACUAAUUCUUUAAAGCAGAAGUUAAACGUGGAAGCAAAAGAAACAUGAUUAAUUGUAAAUCAGAAUGGCAAGAGCAAUUAGUGAUGGAAGAGCAUGCUGUGUCAGUACAAAGUUUAUUGUUUUCUCAUCAUGAUAUUAGAUGCUUUUUGUGGAUGUAUCUUUUAAAAAUGAGCCCCACAUUAGUUAAACAAAAAUGUGCAAAUAGCUGAGUAAUAAAACAUGUAUCAAACUGAAGAAUGCUGUAUUUUGGGGUAAAUACAUUUGGUUCUCUGUAAACCCCAACAGAUUCAAUCAAGUACAGACAGAAAAUAUUGGGGGGAAAUAAUAGUACAACAAUAAAAAACAAUAAACAAAAGUUAUAACAACUAUUUAUAAUAUCAUUUAAAGUGUACUACACAUUGUAAGUAAUCUAGAGAUGAUUUAAUGUAUAUGGGAGGAUGUGCGUAGGUUAUGUGCAAAUACUGCACCAUUUUAUAAAAGGGACUCAAAUAUUUGUGGAUCUUGGUAUGCAUGGGGGUCCUAAAACCAAUCCCCCACAGAUAUUGAGGGCUGACUAUACUUUGUAUAAACACUAUGUCACUAACUCAGGAUUUCACUAGGAGGCCACUACAUAUAAAUAGGUCAAACAAAACAAAAGAAAAACAAAACACCUUCCCAUGACCUAAUUUUGAUGCCUACCUUCACAGAGUCACAGAGUUACUUGAACAAUACGCUUUUAUGAAGUUUAAUGUGCAAGGUAAUUUAUUAUUAAAAACUACUGGAUGCUGCUAUUCAAUACACAGUUAAGUCCUACAUUGAAAAUUUGAAAUCUAGGUGUUCAUUUUAUAUAGUAUACGUGUUACUGAGUUAACAAAUAAAUCAGAUUGUUAGAACAUCCACUUUUUAAAACUUUGGUAAGAGACGGUAGAUGAAAUAUAUCUUUGUUUCAUUUUAUAUUUAAUCAUGCCUUAUCUAUUUUCUAAUUUAUGAUUAGAAAAUAUAUUUAGUCUCAUAUCUAUUAUAUAAUUUAUGAUUUUUAUAUACUUUUAUACAGUACAUGGCUAAUUAAAAAUGAGACUUGAAUCACUUCAAAUAUUAAUUCCUUUGAGAAUCACCUAGCUAGUAGAACCCAUUUCAUUCAUGUAAAUGAUUUCUUUCCAAGUUUUUUUCAUAAAAAAAGAACAUGUUUGUCAAGCUCACUAUAUUACAAUUAAAUAGUUCUUUAAAAAAAUCCAGUUUGACUAAAUUCACUAUAACUAUGAGAUGUAUGUUGAGACUCAAGCUUGAAGAGAGUGACCAAAGGGAAAAUAAAUCUUUGGAUGAGCGCUUAUUUUUAAAUGUAUCUUAACAAAAUGAUCUAGAUAUCAUUCUUCUACAUUGUUUUGAACAAAAGAAUAAUUUAAAAAAUGGAUAGUUUUAUCAAUAUUAUUUUACAGUAGUGACUCCAAAGAAAGAAUGUUCAAUUAUUGUUUGUUCUGAAUUAAAUUUAAUUCUAGUUUGAACUAGUUAACUGAUCUUUGUUUAUGAAAAAAUUUAUUUUGUUGAAUAUAAGGAAAAACUACACUUAUUAGGAAAUAACAAAUUGUAGUUUUUAAUUUAUAAUUUGGUUGAAUUGAUUUGAUUAGCUGAGACAGUCUUUUAGUUUUUAAUAUUAAACUACACAGAAGUAAAAACUAAGAUAAAUCCAUGUAAGAAGUUAUGAGAUGUACAUGAUGAAAAAAAUUCAAACAGUCUUAAACCAUUAUCUAAAAUAUUUUAAGGUCUAAGUUUAGUCUGAAAUGAAAGGAAGAUAUUUUGAAAGCAGGCAGAUAUUCAGUGUGGUUGAUUAGUUUUAAAGCAAAAUUUAUGUUGUUUUUAGUAAAUACCUGAAAAUACCCUUCCCCAGGACCGCUGGAUUGUGGUGUACUUCCCCAUACUGUAUUUUUCAACUUAAUUAAAACAAUAAGAAAAGUAAAAGAAAAAACAAAAACUCAUGAAAAAUAAUAAACAAUGACUUAAAAGUAAAUAUACAAAAAACAAAAGAAACAUUUUAAUAUGACGUUUACUAUGGUAUGAAAUUAGAAUACAACUUUGAAGCUGAUCUUCCUUCUAAUUUCUGCUACUAUCUAUAAAUAAAAUACAUAAAUGAGUACCAAUAUUCUACAUUUACAUUUGUGUAAGAUGUAGUUUAAUAUGGAUUCUCACUUGAAAGAAAAAUUAUUCAACAAAAUCCUUUCUACUUAAGAGAAAGUAGUUAUGGAGCCUUUACUGUGCAUGUAAAAUAUAAAACACGAACACCUGCUUCAUGGCUCUCAGAUGAUGUUAUGAGGGCAGUGCCCACUACUUGGUAAUAUACAGACAGUUCAAUCAUCGUAAUCCAUACUUUGAUUGUAGUCAGAAAUUAAUAUUUUGAAAUAGUAUAAUACCAUAAUUUUGUAAUCUGUAAAAACUAUUUAACAAUGUUUAUCUCCAACAAAUUAUAUAUCUCUUACUGUAUCCUGGAUAUUAAAAGUUACUCUAGGUCCAGGAGAUGCUGCAUCCACACGGAUUUCUGGGAGCUCUUCAGUUUCUCCUACUCGAGAACUGCAAGUAAAAUAUAAAGUUAUAAAACACUAAUAUUCUCAUGAUAAAGUCUGAUUAAUGGCAAUACCAUUCUGUUUCUAAAUAUUUACCUUAUCAAAGGAUUGAACUUUCUCUUAACCUUUAGCAUACCAUAAAAAGGACUCAAUGUUUUGGUUAACUCAAGAUUUUUCUAAAACUAAAUCAUAUAAAAAGAAUUUAUACUUCUUAUAGUGCUUAUAUACUAUUAAAACUGUAUUUCACUUCAAUAAAUGUGAAAUUUCCAUUUUUUUCAUAUGCUAAAUGUCUGUGUGACAAUAUCUUUUCUAAACUGACAAAUUUAGAGCAGUAGCUACUAGUAAGCAUGUUUUAAUUCCUUUAGAUAAUCUGUAAGUUUACGCAUAAAACUUGUCUAUCUUUCUAAACCACAGUUUUAUGUAAAUAAAAAACUUGUCUAAAUAGCAAUGUGCUUCAUUUCUAAAAAGCACACACUGUACUGUGGUUAUAUGAUGACGGGUUCCUUAAAUAAACUUCUGAGUUUGAUAAUAUCCACUAUUAUUGCUAUUUUACAAAUAAAAUUAAUUUGUUAUCUUAAUUUUAUGAUUAGAACAUAAAAAAGUAGUUGACCUUGGUAAAAGAGUCAACAAUUUUA